GACGAACGCUGGCGGCGUGCCUAAUACAUGCAAGUCGAACGCUUCUUUCCUCCCGAGUGCUUGCACUCAAUUGGCAAGCGGGGUGGCGGACGGGGGAGUAACACGUGGGUAACCUACCCAUCAGAGGGGGAUAACACUUGGAAACAGGUGCUAAUACCGCAUAACAGUUUAUGCCGCAUGGCAUAAGAGUGAAAGGCGCUUUCGGGGGUCGCUGAUGGAUGGACCCGCGGUGCAUUAGCUAGUUGGGGAGGUAACGGCUCACCAAGGCCACGAGGCAUAGCCGACCUGAGAGGGUGAUCGGCCACACUGGGACUGAGACACGGCCCAGACUCCUACGGGAGGCAGCAGUAGGGAAUCUUCGGCAAUGGACGAAAGUCUGACCGAGCAACGCCGCGUGAGUGAAGAAGGUGUUCGGAUCGUAAAACUCUGUUGUUAGAGAAGAACAAGGACGUUAGUAACUGAACGUCCCCUGACGGUAUCUAACCAGAAAGCCACGGCUAACUACGUG
rnacentral:rRNA from 1 species